UCCAAGGUGACAAGCUGGAAGUCAGCUUGAAAAACAAUGUGGUGAGUGUCAACAAGGAGCCUGUUGCCGAGCCUGACAUCAUGGCCACAAAUGGCGUGGUCCAUGUCAUCACCAAUGUUCUGCAGCCUCCAGCCAACAGACCUCAGGAAAGAGGGGAUGAACUUGCAGACUCUGCGCUUGAGAUCUUCAAACAAGCAUCAGCGUUUUCCAGGCCCCUGUCUAUCAAAAGUUAUUAGAGAGGAUGAAGCAUUAGCUUGAAGCACUACAGGAGGAAUGCACCACGGCAGCUCUCCGCCAAUUUCUCUCAGAUUUCCACAGAGACUGUUUGAAUGUUUUCAAAACCAAGUAUCACACUUUAAUGUACAUGGGCCGCACCAUAAUGAGAUGUGAGCCUUGUGC
rnacentral:lncRNA from 1 species